rnacentral:lncRNA from 1 species
AGGCAAAUUGCAAUUUGAAAAUUGGAGAACUAGAUUUAUUAGAGAGAUACCAAAAUAUCAGCAAUUAUUAUUUCUUUCAUAGACCGAAAGUCAAGGGGUAGACAACAGUACGCCAAAGGACAUCACGGACCACUGAGUGGGCGUGGUCUUGGGGACAGUGUGGAGGAAAGACCCUCUCCGUGGAAAGCGACCACUGCCAGGUGAGCAUAGGCAGAUAAAAGGGGGUGGAGAACAGAAUGGGAAAGCUUUGGAGGGCUGUGAAGUAAAUUCCCCCCUUCUCUAACCAGAGCAUGUUGGACUCGCCAUACCCUCCCUCCCCCACGGACCCAUCCAGAUGGAGUUCUGUGACAUCACAGCCCCUCUGCCCACCCAGGGCUUUGAUUGGCUGUUGACUUGCUGACCAAAGAAAUCCCAAGGGCGUGGCCACCUCAGGGACAGGUAUAGAAGGGGGAGGGUUCAGGCCCACAUGGGGCAGAACGCUGCGAGGAGCUCCCAGGAGAAGCAGGGCCAGGUAGCCAGCAGGGCGGAGCACAGGACCUAGGACCAGGCUGAGAAAGAAGAGAAGAGCAAUUUCAGUGCCUAAACUGAAGGGAAAGGAUUAAUGUAAAUCAUGGGAAAUAAUUUGCAAAGAAGGCUAUUUAAAAUUGCAGCAGAGCAGUUCAUUUGGCACUAUAAUUCACUUUGGUGUAAAAUUCAAUUAUUACUGACAAAUAAAGAUUAUAUCGUGAAGCUAACCAAUCAAGAUUGUUGCUCAAAAUUCAGAAUGAAUGAACUAACAUGGCUGCAUGGCUGCCUAGUUCUAUGGACACAAACAAAAGUGAAGGAAUGGAAACACAGAGUAAGUUGGCCUCUCUCCAAGGACAAGUCGCUAGUUUUGAUAUGUGAAUUUGGAGAUAUCUAAGUAGAGCUUGAGAAGGCCCACUUCUCAUGGAUUAAUCAUGAAGCCAUCCAAGUAAACACUGAAGAGCAAAAAAGAACAAGCAAAAUCUCUGGAAUCUAAGUGAAAGGUUGGGUCUAUCUUAAAUGUGACCAUUGAUUGCAUCAUAACACUGGCUAGAGGAAAUUCUGUGGAUGUUUAGUGACUAAUUACAUAGAUCAUUAUUCUGCACAAUGUUAAGUGAAAGGAGAGUUACUGAAAAAUGUAAUUACAAAUUAUAACCAUGUUAAAUAAGUGAAUACAAAUAAGACUAGAUGGAAAUAAACCAGAAUACCAACGUUGGUUUUGUUAGAGUGCUGAGAUUAUGGGUCAUUUAUCCUUUCUUUUCCAAAAGGUUAUGUUUUUCAAAUUAUUUUUAAUGAACUUUUUUUAAAAGAAAAGAAUGUAUUAUGCUACUUUCAGGGCAAAAGUGAGACAGCUUCUGGAAGAGCACUAUUAUUCCCACUUUUCUACAUAUCUAGAAACUCCAAGCAGACUGAGAUUGCUCUACUAUUUUAUGACAUCAAAGAAUGCCAGAGUGUAUUGUCACCCCCACUUAGGAGAAUGGGUCAUCUUUUCUAUGGAGUUAUUGGAUGAAGAGUGGAUGGGUUAGUUUCUUCAUUUCCACAUUGAGCAUACCUGCUUAACAGGCAAGCUAUUUCUUCAGGAGACCCUAGUCUUGGCAGCACCAGGCAAAUUUGGUUGCCCAUGAAAGGAGCAAUGGUCUAAGGUCACUGCCUAUGGUAUACUUCAAAGCUUUUGGUUCCUAUCCAGUACGAUAUGCAGCCUUGAUGAGAUUUAAAAUAGCUCUUAAAUGUACUUGAAGAGUCAAAAAAUGUACUCUCCUUUGUGCAUGAAAGAUUGUGGAAUAAGUAUCUUCCAUUGUGCAAGAAAGGGUGCUGGAAAGAUGAAGUUUCUUUCUGAACAUCCCUUAAAAAUCAGACUUUACAACUUAGUGACUCUCAAACCCAGGUCUCAGCAUCAGCAUUCCCUGGGAACUUGUUGGAAAUAUAAAAUCUUAGACUUCAUAAAUCUGAAACUCUGAGUGUGGGGCCUGACAGUCUGUUUUUCUAAGACAUCUGAGGGACUGAGUUCAGCAUCUUAAAAUCUGAGAGAUAUUGACACAACUGCAAUGGCAAAGGGCAUACUUUUGAGCCAACUGCUUGUGUUUAAAUUUCUAUCACUAGUAGGGUAAAUUUGCUACAAGAAAGAAGUCAAUGGGAAGAUGAUAUGGAAUGUGAAGAAUUCCCAUGAGCCUGUUCACUGAGUAAAGAAAGCACAUGUGAAGAAUUUGAAUCAUUUUGAACUUUAUUUACUCUGGAUGGACUGUUCUUUGAUCACUCUUAAACUAGACCAUUUGUGUUAUAGUUUUGUAAGUGUGACAUUUAUAAAGGAAAAGAGUUGUAGAAUAUUUUAUUUUAUGACGCAAAACUGUGUCAUGGUUUUCCAUGAGUAGUUAUACUCCAACUAUGCUGGAAUGUUGGAAAGAGAAAAGUUCACACAUUAAAACCACCCAGAAAGGGUGGGAAAACAGAAGGAAAAAUGACUGGGCAAGAGGAUCUAUAAGAAACGCAGGUAACUGUCUGGGAAUGGAGAGAUGGAAAUGUUCCUGGAGAGGGACUGGUGAUCACAAACUUGUAGCAAACAACUGAGAAGUGAGUACUGUAGUUUAAACUGUGUCUCCAUUCUAAUUUUGUACCCAUCCCUUUCAUAUGGGCAGUGGCAGCAGGGCCAGCUACAUAAUUUGCAAAACACAGUGAAAAAUGAAAACACAUGUUGUUCAAAAUAUAGAAAAACAGUGUUGUUAUUGGUACUAAAAUAUAAAG